rnacentral:lncRNA from 1 species
UUAGUUGUAAAUAAUCGAGGGCCAAACCGCAAAGUUACCCCUUCAAACCCGAAAGGUCAGGUUAACAAUUACGAAAGAUUUUGUUAUUAAUUACCAGAUUCUGAUCAUGAUUACAAAAGAUGUAAAAAAUCUGAUAAUCUUGACCUCUCGCGGGCCGCGUAAGGUUUUAGAGUAAGUUGAGGCGGGCCGCGAGCCUCCUAAAUUGUACGCGUCUGAUAUUGAACUCAGGCGGCCCGCGUUAAAGUGUGCCUAAACUCCCAUGCGGGCCGCGUGGGACGCCCAGAUGCAGAAAGUUUGGACUUGCAUGCCUUUUGAACUUGUGAACGAUCAUAUAGCCAAUAAGUGAGGCAUGGGCGCCCCCUACUCGACCUAUGACACCUUGGGACACCUGCCCAUCAUCCACACUCAGUUGUAGGGUGUGUUGUGAUGAUCUAAGUGCAUACAUUUCACUAUAAAUAGACAUCCAAGGUUCAUAACUAACACACACCUCAAACACACUUCUCUGGUCAUUCCUAAAGCUCUCAAGUGUUCUUCUCUUGUUCUAAAUCUUUCAACAAAUCUCUGUAAGUAUGCCAAACCUUUUAUGGUUUUGUUUUUGCCUAGUUUAGCCUAAAAGUCAAUCCGUCGUAACUAACGAUUGACUUAGCAAUAACUCACGAAUGGUUCAGGGAAUUGUCGAAUCAAAAGUGGUUAUGUGUUGGUAAUUAUGUGGGUAAUAAACCUCUAAAAGGGUUCCCACUGAUCACCACUCUAACUAUGUCGAAUGUCGAGUCAAACGUGCACUCAAAAAGUCAACAGAAAGUCAUUUUGCGAUUUUGUGCAUAAUCUGUAAUGUAUAUGCUAUGAAACCUGUUUUGAUGAUCAUAAAACAUGAUAUUAAGUAUAUAAACUUGUCUAAACUCGUUUGAUUCGGCCAUUCGCUAUAUUGACCCGGUUCGGAGCCGAAUGUCGCAAAAAUAUGCCUUAGGACUCUCUUAGGACCAGGUCACGUGAUGGUAUCACCCUCUGUGACCGGUUCGUCGUUUGUCCGAGUCUUUUAUGCAUUUCCGUUAAUUACUUAAAAGUUGACCGUAAUGCCCUUUUUAAAAUAAAACGAGUAUUUCGGACACGUGAAGGGACCAUAACCUUGCUUACAAAAUUCUAAGAAUGUCCCUAAAGUUUCACGCCAAUCCAAGGUCUAGAAUGGGAGUUAUGCUAAAUAGCGCGUUUAUGAGAAACUUUUGUAAUAAACGGCGCAACUAGCAUAACGCCUACCUAAACCAAGAUUUCGCCACCAAAACUUUUACUCACUGAAGUAAAAUAAUAUUUUGGGAUUUUUAAAGAUUUUUAAUUAAUUUUAACCUGCUCAUAACCUGCGGUUAUGGCUACGGUUCGGUAAAUACCGAAUAUGCCCUUUUCGGCCAAAACUUGAGUUCUACAAGGUCUUUUGACCCGAUUCCAGUUGCUACUGAUUUUGAAUAAUAAAUAAGAUAUUUUAGCCUUAAUAAACUGAUCGGGAAACUCAGGUUUCCUGUAGAACUCAGAAAUCCCUUUUAAAAGUCUUUAAAAUGACCGGAAAACCCCUACGGGACGUAUAAUGAACUAAAACUCGUUACGGGCAUUAUGGAAGGUAUCCUACUGAUACCACAACCUCUUUAAAGUAUAUUGACUUAGGAAAAAGUGUAGGACUCCUACGGUUACCCGUUGCGCCUAUUGCGCGCACGGUUCGGCUUAUGUAACUAGUUUACAUAAAUUAGCCGAUACGGGUCAAACCAUAUCAUUUUGACCCCAACAUCCAGAAUGUGAAUAUUAAACCCAUAUAAAACAAGUCUCCGAACUUGUUGGGUCAGAAUCACAUUCCAUUCUCGGUUUUCGUCUUUCACGCGAUUAAACCGUAUCUAUCCCUCGAAACUAACCGGUCUAGGCUACGGCUAAUAUAAAGACCCGUUAGGAUUCUAAUAGGUUAAUUUAACCUUCGUUCCAGAAUAGGAGCCCCAGUAAAAGAUAUCGGUGAUUUAAUUGAUUAAGGAAUAUACAUUGCAAAGGUAAAUACUUUUAACUUAUUUUCCCUUAUACGGGCUUGGGUUACGGUAUAUAAAAUUCCGCUUGAUUGAGCAUCAAAUAAUUCCAUCGCUUAGGUGGUUAAUUGAAUAGUUUGAUCGGCUCAUUUAAACAGUCUUGUUACUUAAAAGCCUUUGGGGGGUUAAUGACCAUGUCCCGGAUAUCCUUGGCAUCAUUUUACGAAAUGGCCACGACCUCGACACCCGGGUGUAGGCGUACACCCGGUUGAUGUCUAUACUAUUAAAAGACGUAGCCGAUGGUUUACCCGCCUCGGUUUUACGCAAAUGUGGUGUGUCUAUUGAUCUUUAACCCGGUACGAUCCGGGCUACUGAACGCAAAGAAGGAACAUGUAAUUCGUUCACAAGAUUAUAAUAUUAAAUAAUUUUCCCAAGUUAAACAAAUAUGUUUAUGCCUCGUGCAUCCAAAUCAAUUUUCAAUCAUUUUACAAAAUGAGUCAGUUGAUUGUAUUUACCAGUGUAAACUGACGUAUUUUCCCAAAAAGAUUAAGUGCAGGUACUACACGUAAUUGGCUGGUAGUAGCUCCCUAGCAUCUAAGGAAGUCUCGCAAGCUUGAUGUCUAUCUGUUGAACAAGAUUUUUAUUCAUUUUGAUCCAUCCUGUGGAUUCUAUUCAACUACUUGUGAUACAAUGAUAUUACAGUAAAUGGUUGAAUUAUAUUUAUCUU